AGGAGCACCACGAAAAGGGUUGAGACACUGGGUCUUACCCGAGCCGUGAGGAACCGGUUGCCUGUAGUGGGCACGGUUUGGUGCACAACAAACGUUGAGCCGCAAGGGAUUUUGCGGUGAUGGGACUGCCAGACACACUAUUGGGCUUUGAGACAACAGGCCCGUGCCCCUUUUUUGGGGGGGGGCCUCCGGGUGGGGGUGGCCGCCUUUUUUUUCCCCCCUUUGGGGGGGGGGGGGGGUUUUUUAUUUUGGGAAUGGGGGUGCCAACCUUCAACCCCCCGUGGGGGGGGGGGCCCUCGGGUUUCCGGGUCUUGUGGGUUGUUGUGGUCAAUUUUUUUUUAAACCUCUUUUUUGUUUUUUUUG
rnacentral:misc_RNA from 1 species